UUACCUGAUGUGUUUCUUUUGGUUUAAGAUUGUUUGUCCUAAGUCAUGUUAGUUACAGGGGAGGAAUUUAGUUUUAUAUACAAAAUUUUAACUGAGUACAUCCUGAUGCUGCAUGUCUAUUGUUUCUUCAGACAGCUUCCUAAGGCUGAUCUUAACAGGCCACUAUGGGGAGCUAAUCUGUCUGUAAGAGAGUCUCCUCACAAAAAUAUAGGCAUGACAAAUGUCAAAUAUCUCCUUUUUUUAAAGAUGGAUGGUUGGAGAUAAAUCUCAGUAAACUGAGAAAAUUGUUACCUUUUUCUGUUCUGAAAAGCUGAGAUUAACCAAGCUAGUUCAUCUGCAAACUAUAUUUUCCUUGCUGUUACUGGAAUAAAUCCAGAAACAAAAAUAGUCCAAAGAUGAGAAUACACUGCCAGAAGGGCUGAAAAUUGAAUCCAGCAGCCUAGAUGAAACUCCCCCAAGAAGAGAGGGAGAGUGUGUAGGAAUCUAAUUAAUGACUAUUUAUUAAAAAAAGGUGAAUUUGUAAAAUUUAGACAAGGAAUAGUCAUCUAUAGAGUGCGAUGUAGUUUAAAAUUAUUUAAACAUAAAAAUCACUUUAAUCUGAACAGUGUUCCUUAUAAUGGACACUAACAUUUGAUUUUUAGACUCCAUUGUUUGUAAUAUCCUCUUGAAGUAAGAACAUAUUUUCCAUUCCUGUCAAUUUUGUCCUUUUUUGUUUGACAAACAUGGAUAUUUUUCCUACACUAUAUAUGGAGUGAAAAACACUAUUUUUGUUGGCUUGUGAAAACGGUGGCUUCCUCUCUAGUAAGAGCGGCAGAUUUAUUUUUAUAGAUGUACAAAUAUGUAAUCUACACAGUUAUUUAGCAGAAAUGGUUUAACUAGAUCUUAAAAAGAUAUAGUUUAGGCCUUCUGGUUCAGUUUUAGAGGCAGUUUUAUAUAAUCAAAAAAUAAACUCCUUUGUAUCUGUAACCAUGGAAUGAACUACGUAACCAUGGAAUAAAAACUGUCUGUUUAGUGCUUUUGGCUCCCUUAUUUUCCUUCUAAUCCAUCUCCAAGGGGGCUACUUCUAACAUUCCAGCCCUCUAAGCAGCUUUCUGACAUCUGCCAUUAAAAAAAUGAAGUUUGUUCUUAGUUUUAUUCCCAAGUGUGAUCUGGUAAAAGAGAGGGACAAAUUCUUCUCUCUUACCAAUUCUAUACUAUUUUAUCUCUGUUGACUUCUCCUGAUUUACAGCAGUGUGAGAGGAAAACCAAGCCCAGAGUUUGCAAGCAAGAACUGGUAAUAAUUGGUUAUGGACAUAUGACAAUUUUAAGGUCUGAAAUAAUUGUAAUCCCUCCUAACUUUUAUACCUCCUCCUCCUCUCCUUGUUGUGAGAAAGUAUUUAGCAGAAUUCACAGAUUUGGUGCAAUCUGACAGGGCCAUGCUGUAAGCGCUUCUGCUAUGGCCUCAAACUUGUGACCUUUGAACUAUCAACCGUGUGCCUUAGUGCCCAGCCCAGCCCCGCCCCGCCCCCAGCUUUAUAUCAAUGGUGAUGUGGUCAAUAAUCUAUAGUAUUUAUCCACAACUGUACCAAGAAAUGAUACAGACCUUAAAUUCAAAACAUCCUGACAUUAAAAAAGGUAUUUCACACAACUUUAAAGGAAUUGAAAAUGAAAUAAUAUUAAGUCUUUGCUGUAUAUGGUAAUUAAGGCAGUUAGAGAGGUCAGUAUUAAUAAACACAUUUUGUGAGAAGCAUGGAUUCUUCGCAGGAUAUCUUUUUUUGGACUAACUGCAUAGCUGGGAUAGAGUUAGACAAGCUUUUGGAUGCAAGGCAUUCUUUUGAAGGUCUCAAUUUAAAAUUUUAAAAUGUCAUCGUUUUAAAAUUUCAGUUUUUCCAAAACAUGUUUUUUAAAAAUGUUGUACAAGCAAAAAUUAUCAUUGGAAAGUGGGGUUGGAAGGGACUUCAUGAGGACUAGUCCAGUGCCCUGCUCAAGGCAGGAUCAUCCUUGACUAAACCAUCCCAGCCAAAUGUCUGUCCAACCUGAUAUUGAAAAUGUCCUGGGAUGGACAUCCCACAACUUCUCAAGGUAGUAUGAUGAAGAUGCAUGGCAAAACGAGAAGCUCUUGUUAAUGGUGCAACACAUUUUCCACAAGAAUUUCCAGUCAUUAGACCCGCAUUCUGAUAGGUCCAGUAGCCCUUCCUUAGGCCUAAUGGGCAGAGCCUUCUUUAUCUUCCUUAUUUCCACCCUUCCCCAAAUGCCCAACUAAUGUGUGUCCAACAAUGCCCCUCCAUGUAGAGGAGGAUUUAACCUGUGCCUCAAAGUAUUGAUGCAAAGUUGGCUUAAAGCUUUUAUUCAUUUACUAUUUUCAUGUACUGUAGUCAUAAUGUUUCCUGACUCUAACCAUUUGGGCUGAAAUUAUCCACAUUAGGUCUCUGCCAGAAGCUGAAUCAUUUUGAAAAGUUUCUAUACCACUGGCUCAGUCAUUUCCAAAAACAAGAUUAGAGAAAAAUGCAUUGUUUUGCUCAUAUUAAAUGUUUUCUUAUACUUGUUUUGUUGUGAAGCUUUAAUGAACACAUGUUUUGAAGCAAUGGCUUAAUAUCUGGAAGGAAGUGGUUCUAGCAUUGAGGAUGUGCCUCUUGUCGUUCCUGUGGAAAACAGGCCCAAAUCUGAUAGUCAUAAACCUUUGGAAAAUUGGCUUAAAUAUGUUCAGAAAAGACUUGCUGGGGUUUGGCAGCUAGAUAACACUUUCUUAGCAAUUGCUGCUUGGUGUAGGAACUAAAUGCAGGUGUUUCUCAACCAGAGUGCUGUGGGAUCCUUUUAAGGGUGCCACAGGGUGCAAGGCAAUGUUAGCACUGUUAGGUGUGCAAGCACCUACACAUGGUUCACAAGAUAAACCCAGAGAUUUCAAGUAGGAAUCGGUGUCAAAAGCAUUCUGCCCUGUUGUGGUCUUUCUAAGUUCUUUGCAGCGGAAGAAUUGCUCUAUUAUUUUUCUGUAAUCAAAGAACAAGUGAAAGUUAAGAGCUGGCAUUUUCUGAGCAGGGGCUAAAGUCUAACAAGGGGUGCCUUGCAGUCUAUGGCACAGGCCCCAUCUACCCACUUCAGUAUACCCACACCAAAUCUGUAAAUGUAUCAAUGAAGCUGCUGAGACAGGUGCUUCUUGUGAUAUAACUGAGAAAGAAAUCAAGAGUAUGUUUAAGAGCAGCCACAGGAGUAUCCCUCAGUAUGGCUCCACCACUGUAUCUUUGAGUUGGGCACAUGUUAGCAGGAUGCAGUGGCACAGGGCAUGUUUAAAAGCAAUUUUCUGUCAGAGUGCUAGGGACAGCAUAGAAAUACCGUUAAUGCUUCCCUUGCAGACUAGAAAGCAGGAAGCUACUUCACUCGUAUACACACAUGACAAGAAAUCAAUCUGGACUCCUGUGGGGAAGGCUGAAACAGGAAACUGAAAGGAGACUCAGGACUGGCCAAGUAAGGAGACUGAGAACUGGAAUCAGUUGGGUGAGUAUGAGAAGAAAAGAUUAGGACUGACUGGGCAAGGAGACUGGGAGCCAGUGUGAAGGGGAGAGAAAAGAGGGCAGCAAGGACUGUGAACAGGAUUUUGGAAAAGGAGCUGAGGGAAAUCUGGGACUUGAAGACCAACAAGAGAGGAGAGGGAAAAUAGGAUUUGUAUUGUGGAUCAAGGCAGGAAGGGAAUCCAUAUUUAGACUUUAGAGGAGAAAAACCAGGAUUGCCUGGGCAAGGGGACUGAAAUGAGAAUGAAAAGUUGGGAGGGGAGUCAGGCUGAAGGCAACAGAGUAGAGGAGUCAAGCUUUCAGAAACAGGCAGAAGGAACCACAAUCCCCUUUAGAUUCUGGAACAGAAUCAAAAUAUGAAUGCUGUUGUCAGCAAGUAAUGGUGAAAUCCGCUGACAAAGUGUUUGUUCAUUCCCCUGUGAGUGGCUCAUACACAUAGGCAAAGUACAGACAUUCAAAAAGCUCAAGCCUGAUUUGAUUCAAUCUUUGCAGAGUAGUCUAACCUGUGUAAACUGGAUGCCCAGCAGGGCUGGAAGGGGGCAGGGAAUGGGGGCCCCCCCACCUGUCCUUGGGGCCCUGGAGGUGCAGGUGAGGGAGCUCCAGGAGGAGGUUAGCAGGCUGAGGGGAAUCAGGGAGGCAGAGGAUGAAACUGAUGGGUAUUUUCUCUCCCUGCAGGGCCAUGCAUCCAAGGAAGAAGCACCCCAGGAGGUGCCUUCCACAGCAGAGUAGCAGAUGGUCCCCUCCAGAAUCAGGGCUGCUCGCAGCAGAGCAGUGCCAGUUCCUCCAGUCCGGCUGGAGAACAGGUACGAGGCCCUGGCAACACUGCAGGAGAAGGAAGUAGAGGAGGAAAACUCUGGAGAGGAGGCAACUCCACACUCUGAACAGGCUGAAGGAGCUAAGCAGACCCAGAGGAAGAAACGUUGAGUGAUCGUCAUAGGCGACUCUAUCCUGAGUGGUACAGAGGGUCCCAUCUGUUGCCAGGACCCCUUGACACGCGAGGUCUACUGCCUGCCCCGUGCAAAGGUUCAGGAUGUGACGGGGAUGAUCCAGGCCAUUAUCCGGCCCACCGAUUUACUACCCCAUGGUCCUAACCCAUGUGGGUACUAAAGAUGCGGCCAGGAGAAGCCCUGAUCACCUGAUGAUGGACUACCACACUCUGGGGGGCGUGCUGAAGGAGAUAGGGGUAAAGGUGGUAUUCUCUUCUGUCCUACCAGUGAGCGGACGUGGAAGAUGACAUGAGACCUGCAUCAGAGAGGUCAGCUUGCGGCUUUGGGAAUGGUGUCUCGAGGUGGGCUUCGGCUUCCUAGACAACAACCCACGCAUCAGGACGACCUGGGGCUCGGGUGGGAUGGGCUUCACCUUUCCCCCAAAAGUAAGCAUAUGUUCUCUUCUAGGUUGGCUGAUCUCCAGCAGGCUUUAAACUAGGCUUGUCGGGAGAAGGGGAAGACAAGGGCGGAGGAAGCCUUGGACCACUAAACCAAGCGUCACCCACAAGAACAGCCCAGCUUAGACCAACGACAAGCAGAACAAAUACCCAGGAUGGAAUUUUUGAUCCAAGAUAGAAAGACAGUGAUGCCCACCUUGGACGUAGGAUUACCAAGUUCAAGGUUCUACUUUGUGUGAUUUAAGACCAAGGAUUUAUUUCUCGCCCACAUUCCAGCAGCCUCCCUUGCUCUCAGCAAAAAUGCUACCAGUGACAAUUUUACUGAAUUAUAACUUGCCGUUAGAGGAGCCAGAAGCAUCAUCCACAUGAAUA